rnacentral:lncRNA from 1 species
AUGAAGGACAAAAUUCCUAAUCUUCAUGGAGCAAGAUACCUUUCCCAGAAUGCAUAUACACUUGAUUCUGGACAAGACAGAGAAGGUCAAGAAGAAAACAAUGUAAUGUGGAAAAACCAACCCCUGCUUGCUGUGAAGGUUGGCAGUUCUGCCUGAGGGUGCUAUUUUGGUAGCCUACUGAGUGGCAAAGGAUGUGGGACAGAAAAGAUAGAAGCCAGUCAGAGAACCAGUCAGAGAACCCUACUGCUAGCUGGUAUUUCCUACAGAAAAGUAUUCUUCCCACUUUUCUUUUUCUUAUUUUUUUUUUUUAAUAAGCAUUUUUCUAUUCUGUGUUUAUCCCACUAUGAUAAUGGUGGUAUAUCAAACAUACUUCGGAAUUGUAUUAUAUAAUAAAUGGGAAAGAAUAAAGAAAAGUUCCA